UAGGCCUCACCUUUCCUCAGAGGACC
rnacentral:piRNA from 1 species